UACGUAGGGUGCGAGCGUUGUCCGGAAUUACUGGGCGUAAAGAGCUCGUAGGUGGUUUGUCGCGUUGUUCGUGAAAACCUGAGGCUUAACCUUGGGCGUGCGGGCGAUACGGGCAGACUGGAGUACUGCAGGGGAGACUGGAAUUCCUGGUGUAGCGGUGGAAUGCGCAGAUAUCAGGAGGAACACCGAUGGCGAAGGCAGGUCACUGGGCCGCAACUGACGCUGAGGAGCGAAAGCAUGGGGAGCGAACAGG
rnacentral:rRNA from 1 species